UACGGGGGGGGCAAGCGUUGUUCGGAAUUACUGGGCGUAAAGGGCUCGUAGGCGGCCAACUAAGUCCGACGUGAAAUCCCCAGGCUUAACCUGGGAACUGCGUCGGAUACUGGAUGGCUUGAAUUCGGGAGAGGGAUGCAGAAUUCCAGGUGUAGCGGCGAAAUGCGUAGAUAUCUGGAGGAAUACCGGUGGCGAAGGCGGCAUCCUGGACCGACAUUGACGCUGAGGAGCGAAAGCUAGGGGAGCAAACGGG
rnacentral:rRNA from 1 species